AGUGAACGCUGGCGGCGUGCUUAACACAUGCAAGUCGAACGAGAACGGAAUAUAGCUUGCUAUAUUUGUCAGCUAAGUGGCGCACGGGUGAGUAAUGUAUAGAUAACCUGCCCUUAAGAAAGGAAUAACAGUUGGAAACGACUGCUAAUGCCCUAUAUGCCUUUAAUACAUAAGUAUGCAAGGGAAACGCUUUAGUGCUUAAGGAUGGGUCUGUAUGGUAUCAGCUUGUUGGUGAGGUAAUGGCUCACCAAGGCUAUGACGCCUAACUGGUUUGAGAGGAUGAUCAGUCACACUGGAACUGAGACACGGUCCAGACUCCUACGGGAGGCAGCAGUGGGGAAUAUUGCACAAUGGACGAAAGUCUGAUGCAGCAACGCCGCGUGGAGGAUGACACAUUUCGGUGCGUAAACUCCUUUUAUAUAGGAAGAUAAUGACGGUACUAUAUGAAUAAGUCUUGGCUAACUACGUGCCAGCCGCCGCCGUAAUAC
rnacentral:rRNA from 1 species